rfam:Ictidomys tridecemlineatus contig107789, whole genome shotgun sequence.
GGGGUUGUGGCUCAGCGGUAGAGCACUCAACUAGCAUGUGCAAGGCCCUGAGUUCAAUCCUUAGCACCCCA